UGGCCCGUCUCGUAGUUUCUCCCUCUUGUACCGAAAAAUCCGCGCCGGGCGAUAAAUCAGAUCGCGUCACGUCUAAAACCGAUGGUGCAACUUUUGUCCAAUAACGUGAUACGUAAACGUCCGUAUACACAGGGCCCGGCUAAACCGUCGCUCCACUCGAUAUAUUUGCGACAUACUUCGAAAAUCUCUGCUCUGUCUAUCUUCUUUCUCGCUUUAGUUGAUUUUCGAAGAAGAACGGACGGAUUUUACUGAAUAAUCGCUCGUCACUGAUAAUAAGAUGAAGAAGAAAAAUGUUGACAAAGAUUAUCGGUGGAAACAUCGUGACUGUAAGGGGAUCCCCAGUGAGACCCGAGUCAGAUGAGAGAAUACGUAUAAUACGGGGUGAAGCAGGUCUUUUUUUCUUUCGUCCCGGUACGUCCCGUGACAUUUUGGAAGGGAAAAUGAUAUAGGUUAAAACUACGUGAACGAAAUUCCGCUGAAGCAACCGGAAAUAAGGACUCGACCUCGCGUUCGCGUGUGGUUCCGCUCAGUAGACGGAAGAAAGCAAUUCUCCGGGCGUUCUCGGGAGAACGUUAGUCGACAAAGAAAUGUAGCCAAGAAUGUUGAAGCAGCAUCUAUUGAACUUGACUGAAGAAUAAUUCUUUUACGAUCGAAACACAGAUCGUUAUAACGUGAAAUGGAAUUUUUAUGAUUUCAACUUUUAUUACUCGAAUAAGGUUGGAUUUUAUAUUUUUAUAGAAUGGUUUAACAAUGGUACCUGCGUUUUAUAGAAAGUGCAGAGAUAGAAAGAUGACUAGCGGGAGGGCACAGGGGCGAACGGAGUACUUCGCACGUUCUUAAUAUUUACAAAUAUUUUCUAAAUUGUAUUGUAAAAUUACAGAGUAUUAAAGAAACUGGGGCGUGAUCUAAGCAAAGCUGAAAAUUUAUUCGAUAUUAAGAAUAUAAGUAGAAGCGACGAUAAAAAGUCAGCGAGACAUUGAUUAAUGUUUUUAAAAAGACAAAAAUGAGGUAUACGAAGCAUAGAGUUGAGAAUAAUCAAAUCACUGACGAUGAGAAGCAUAAAUCAAACUUAGAUUUUCGAAGGUAUAAAAGGAAGCGUAACAAAGCAGCGAAGAAAACGGUAAAAGAAAUAAAAAUCAUGUGUGUCGCACUUUUACGAGUUCCUCUCCUCCUUCGCGAGUAAUGUGCGAGGCAUAUGGUACAGUGACGGCUGUUACCCCUUUACGGUGCCAACCCACCCUUUUCUAACACGCUAGUCUCCGGUAUUCCUGCCACGCGUCCCAAAAUCACCGGCUGCUAAAAACGUGCAUGCUGAACACGAGUGUUCUAAUACUUUAAGCAACGACACCCACGUGCAAAGUGAUACGCUUAUAUUAACCUAUAGAUCGGUACACUUUACCUACUCUUGCAAAGUACCAUUUCGCCAUCGGCGUAACGAGAAUUUUUUAGUAUGGCGAGAACGGG